rnacentral:misc_RNA from 1 species
GAACGCACCUUGCGCCCUUUGGCCAUUCCGAAGGGCAUGCCUGUUUGAGUAUCAUGAACACCUCAACUCUCAUGGCUUGCCAUGAUGAGCUUGGACUUUGGGGGUCUUGCUGGCCUGUGGUCAGCUCCUCUCAAAUGAAUUAGCUUCCCAGUGUUUGGUUGGCAUCACAGGUGUGAUAACUAUCUACGCUUGUGGUUUCCACCAGGUAACCUUCAGUAACAUGGGGGUUCGCUGGAGCUCAUAAAUGUCUCGCUUCAGUGGGGACAGCUUUUUGAACGUUUGAUCUCAAAUCAGGUAGGACUACCCGCUGAACUUAAG